AGUUGCAUUACUGGGCAAUCCUCCUUUGGCAGUUGGCUUGAGUAGAACACCAAUUGAGUGUGCGACUAUUCAUUAAUGGACUACUGCCAAAGGAGACUUGCCCGGCAAUUCAACU
rfam:Ananas comosus cultivar MD2 ACMD2_Scaffold_1222, whole genome shotgun sequence.